UUACAAUAUACCAUUAAUUAUAUUUUUUGUAAGUGCUAAAGUUAUAUUUGGUGGACCAGUGGAUGCCAAAGGUGAAAAAUUUACAAACUGUCAGAGCUUCCUAUUUAAUGAAGAAAGACCAUCGAAAAGGUUUUCAAAAAGAUCCACGGUCUAAACAUACAUGUAUAUAUUUAAUAGAUUCUGAGAAUGUGUAUCAAAAAUUCCAAAGAAAUCUCUAGCCAAAAAACUGUAGUUGCUAUAAUUCAUGUUUGUCUGCAAAGAUGCUGUUUUUCAUGUAUUACGACCUUUUGGUACCACAGAUGUAUAAAUAACUUUUCUGGCAGAUUUAUGCAUUAGAUGAGGCUUGUUCAUUGAUGUCACCUUUCCAAUUGUAGGAUUUCUUGCAACCUUUCCGCGUACCUGCUAAAAACUUCGUGUGUAUACCUCAGAAGCAUGUCACAUAUAUUAUAUAUAACGUCGUCCCUUAGCUUAUUAUUUCCUUGUUCGCUGCAAGAUUUUACUGUAUCAUCUGAAUGUUAAUUGUUGUUAAUCUUUUGAAUUUAUAUUUUCAUUAUACGCUGAACUCGACCCCCCUAGCGAGGUUUUUACUUUUGGCGUAAGUGUAUCUAUAGAUAAAUUGACAAAAAUCCUAAAUGACAUAUAAAAAGUAUUUACUACUCAAAGGAUAAUUUCAACACACGAGUUUCUAUUAAAUCUUCCACAGCAAUCUCUUUAAAGUCUGUCUGGAUUUUUUUUGUAGGUAUGAGAACAUAAAAAUAAAUUAAGCUCAACUC
rnacentral:sRNA from 1 species